UUCGACACUGACGCAUCGCUUCAAAAGAUUGUUAGCAUUCCAGUGAUGUUUUUUUUCUUUCUGUUUUGGUUGGGAGAUCAGGAUCCUGUUGAUUGGAAACUAAAUAUAAUUAACAUUUUAGGAUUGCUCAGUGCUCCUGUGAUGAAGUCAUCAUGUGAUGGACAACACCUACUGCCGAGGAGAAUAAUCACUUCCCAGAGAAUGAAUCCAGAAUGUCUUGCUGUUACUGGAACAACACUGUUAUUGAACCAUUGAAGAUGUGCAUGUGUCUCUUUGGAAGUGAUCGGACAUUCUUCAUACCUUACACAGCUGUUAUUGAACCAUUGAUGAUGUGCAUGUGUCUCUUUGGAUGUGAUCGGACAUUCUUCAUACCUUACACAGCUGUUAUGGAACCAUUGAUGAUGUGCAUGUGUCUCUUUGGAAAUGAUCGGACAUUCUUCAUACCUUACACAGCUGUUAUGGAACUAUUGAAGAUGUGCAUGUGUCUCUUUGGAAGUGAUCGGACAUCCUUCGAAAAAUGAACAUGUUAACCUUUUUGAUUUAUAACCAUGGCACCUACUUUGUGUAACCAACUCCCAUCACAGCUUUUACGUGACAUUUUUCAGACUUUGUACAUUAUAGCUUUUAUAAAAACACUGAAGAUGUACAUGUGAUAUUUUAAAAGUAUUUUUUUCUCUAAAAAUUCUACGUUUGAUAUAUCAUUUUUCCAGUAUCUUUUAGAAAAAGGUUACCCACAUCAUCUGACUUUAUUAUAAAUGCAUACGAAAUUCUGAAGCAUCUCUAGGGUAGACUUUUAAAAAGCAUUACAUGCAUAUGUAAUUAUCUACCACAGUUCAUAUUUAUUUCAUCUGAAUCCAUGCACUGCUGUCUCUAUGAUAGAUAACAUAUUUUAAACCAAGGCGACAAUUUCUGUUCUUGAAUCGAUUUUUCGUUGUUGCAUAAAAUGCUUCGAAUCCUUUGUCUCUCAUCAGACACCUUCUUAAUUCUACAAACACACAAAUCAAAUUAAGUAGGACGGUUUGGUUCGAUGAGUUUGGUUUUUACUUUGUUAUGCAACAUGUUUACCGUAGAAAUGUUUCACAAAACAGGCGCCGCGGGUUCGAAUCCCUCUCGCGCCGGUAAUUGAGAAAGUUUCCCAGUUUAUUUUCGGAAGGUCGGUGGUGUCUUCCCAGGUGUAUCUGGGUUCUCUCUUCCACCCUAAAAACUGGGCGCCACCAGAUAACUGAAAAAUUGUUGAGUUUGGCGAAAAACAGCCAAAAAAAACCAAAAAAAAAA